UUUAAUUUCAAAUAUUUUUAUGAAAAAUAAAGUAAUAUUACUUGCCAAAAUGUGUCCACUGGUAAAUUAAUUAAAUCUUCAUUUGGUUGUGUUGCAAAAGCUAUUGGCAAACUAUCUUCUCCACUGUUCAUCGAUUUGCUGGACUAAAAUGUUAUUAUCAACUAAUCUUGAUACAACUUUAAUCAGUAGAAUCAAAAUUGGACAUGUUUCUUGAUAAGCUAAUUAAAG